GAUCUCAUUCAAGAUGUUACUAACAGUUAUGAUAUUCAUGGUUUGAGUUCUAUGGUUGAUGCCACACCAAUCUUUGAUCCACCAUGUGUGCAGGAGAAAGGAGUAACAAAUGAUCAAAUAAAGAGUAAUUUAUAGAAGAAGCACAAGCAAAAAACAACCAAAGAAUACUUGCAGCGUAAAAAAAUCUAGUAAGUGAAACCUU
rnacentral:lncRNA from 1 species